rnacentral:lncRNA from 1 species
AAAUAUCAAAUUGUUAUAGAAAAAUCUAGAUAUAAAAAGAUAAGAUAUCAAGGUCAAAUCCCAUGAUGAUGUUACUUUCUAUGUUUUCUCAACACCUCAACAAAAAAACUUAGCUAUCAUCCUAAGCUAGACUAUGAUAUCAAGUUUUGUAUAAUAUUCUUAGCAAAAUAAUAAUGAGCUUGUGCAUUGGAGAUCGACAAAACAUCUGGUCGUUAAACCAUUUUCGUGACCAACCUUUAACUGGUCCUAGAUUAUUUUUAGAGACGUCCCUAUUUAAAAUAAUUUGUAAUUUAGCGAAAUAUUCAUGGUCCGUAAUAACCAUGAGUAGUCUUAAAAGCUCAAUGCAACAAAAAGUAAUUUUUAUCAAUAAAUAUCAAAUUGUUAUAGAAAAAUAUAGAUAUAAAAAGAUAACAUAUCAAGGUUAAAUCCCAUAAUGGUGUUACUUUCUAUGUUUUCUCAAUACCUUAACUAAAAAAAACUUAGCUAUCAUCCUAAGCUAGACUAAGAUAUCAAGUUUUGCAUAACAUUUUUAGCAAAAUAAUAAUGAGCUUGUACAUCUUCUAAGCUUGCAUCUUGACUUGUAACUUCAAUCUACAAAAUC